CCUUCCUGACUGGAGUGGAGAUAUCCUUGGGAGAAUAGCAGACACAAGUGAAUCCAUAGCUAACAAGUGGCCCAAGUAAAGGUGGGCUUUGAAAUUUAGGCAGAAGAGUCUAUAGUGAUAAGAUGGAUGCUUCAUUCUGGUACAAUCUUGAGGAACACUGGAGAACCCCCAGCUGGACGAGGUCCUGAAUCAUCUCGACAUACCUGCAGAAUUCUAACUGGGCAAAAGUGGGGUGUUCAUCAUAGAAGCAGUGAUUUGUCAUAGAAUGACAGAUGGAGUGUCUGUUUUGCACAAGAGGACACACUGGUGAAGAAGUUGCUGUUCAGAGAAGGUGGCAUGGUGGACAUUGCAUGCAUUGCAAACUAUAAAUAUUCCUUGUGACUUGGUUCCUCUUGACUACAGUGAUCCAGGUUAUUUUCUCCCCAUGCAUAUGUUCAGCGGCCGACAAGGUUAUCUUGAUUAUUCUUCUGCCUAUAAAUGCCAUUUUUUUUGUUGAUGAAAACACAGAAGAAUUCCUUCUUCCUUACUUUCUCAUCUGGGGCAUGUGUAUGUGACCAGGGGGUGUGUGCUCAAUACUCUGCUUGCUGAUGUUAUCAAGAUACCCUAUAGGGCACACUGUUGAAGAGUUUCCUGUUUCUGCAGAACAGAAUAGCCAGAUUGAGUUUUCAGACAAUGUGCUCUGGGUGGUUGAUGCUGACAGGCUGCACGUUAACUCAGAAGGAGCCUUUGGCAUGAUAGGCAACAUGACAUCUAAUUCAUAGAUUGUUUUCCUUCUUUUCUUUUCAAGGGAGUGAUCUUUUCUCAUCAUAAUCUUCCUAUAGAUGUCAAAACACACGGUCUAUCCCAGUGUAAACACAGGCGUUGGGGGACGGCUUCCUGAAUUGGAUUUUCUGGGGUGAAUUUUGGGACUGGCGUCCAAAUACAUCUAAACAGACAAAUUGACUUCACUGGAGUUGCUUUCAGGUUGUGACACUAGUUUAUUAGAAUUUGACACACAAUUGGAACUUCUGUGGGGUUCAUUUAUUUCAUUUUGAUCAUUCACUAAUAGAUACAGCAAAACUAAGAACUUUAUUUCAAGAUCGUUUUCACUGAUGUUAAUUGAGAUAAGCAGUAGCUUGAGGAUAAUUGGUUUUAACUUGUGAGAUGUUAGUCCAAAAUCUUGCCCUUCAUUUAGGUCUCUGUGAACAAGUGAAAUAAUUAUUAUUUUCUUGCCAAAACUGUUUGCCAGGUGAACUAAUGAUUAUUUGAUAAAACUAUUCCUAUGGUUCUUGUUUGAAUGUGGUGUUACUCUUGACCAUUGUAGGAUUAUGCCUUUUGGAUGAAGCCGAAAGAUUCUGAUGAUUUAAAAGCAGUAAAUAAAAGUAAAAAACUUACU